UACGUAGGGGGCGAGCGUUGUCCGGAUUUACUGGGCGUAAAGGGCGUGUAGGCGGUUGGAUAAGUCUGGUGUGAAAUCUCAUGGCUCAACCACGAGACUGCGCUGGAAACUGUCUGACUGGAGUUCGGCAGGGGUUACUGGAAUCCCCGGUGUAACGGUGAAAUGUGUAGAUAUCGGGGGGAACACCUGUGGCGAAGGCGGGUAACUGGGCCGCAACUGACGCUGAUACGCGAAAGCGUGGGGAGCAAACAGG
rnacentral:rRNA from 1 species